rnacentral:lncRNA from 1 species
CAAGUGCAAGCAGCUCUGAGUACCGAAUGUUAAAACAUCCAACAUAAGCAUUUUCGGACUUUUACAAUCAGAUGAUAAAAAAAAAUAUUUUUUAAUGAAAAGCAUUAUUUAUUAUAUUGUUGUAUGCAAUGUCAUAAAACCUCUAAUGCUUCUACCAAACAGUUGGCUAUAGUAAAGCGUGAUAGUGACAGAAUAUAUUGCCACAGUUUUGAAUGCUGAUACGAUUGGCUACAGAGGAAUAGCUGUACCUUGAUUUACCGUCAAGGCUUCUCAGUUCCUUCAAAGACUUCAAAGACAAUCUCACUUAGACCUUCACGUGGUGUCUUCCUGUAUGACUUAGGUUAAAGUUAAAAACCCAUACACGUGAUUGUUUGGGACAAAAUAUUUUGUGAAAAACAAUGUUUAGCCAGAGUGACAAGUGACCUUCUUGUCACUUGUGGAGUGUCACAGGAGGCCAAAGGAGCUAAUUACUCACUUAAGCGGGCGCACACACACUCACACAGAAACAGACACAGAUAUACACACACACACACACACACACAUACACACACACACACACACACACACACACACACACACACACACACACACACACACACACACACAGAGUAAAUACUCACACAGAGACACACACUCAACCCAAGCUAAUCCCUGGGAGGUGGACGGUAUGGUGAGGUAAUGUUUACAUGCCCCUGUCUUAGGGGACUUAGUGCGUGACUCAUAAACCCAUUACAAACAUUCUGGCGAUACUCCGGUCAACGGGUUAAACUGCUGAGUCUGUUUUUCCUCUUUCCUUCCUUCCCUUGUUCCCUCCCUCUUCCCCUCAUUCUAUGAGAGAGGACUUAGUGAGUAAAGCCGGUGGCUGAUCGCAUGAGACACGGGUUCACCAAGUCCCUCUGAAACGCACAGCUCGACAGAAAGUGACGGGCCGAGAGGAACGGGUCGGGCUAUUAAGGAUGGGGUCACGGCCCAAUCACUGGCGGUAUAUCUGCCCACCAGUCAGAUCCUCCGUCACCCUCACCCGUCCAGGCCCAGGUCGACGACAGGGGAGAGAGAGUGUCAGACGGGAGAGGAGGUUGUCCUUGAUUGGUUCAACAGACACAUCCGAUCGCUAAAUCAUCUACACUCUUAGAAAAAAGGGUUCCAAAAGGGUUCUGCUGCUGUCCCCAUAGGAGAACCCUUUUUGGGAAGGGAAAGGGUAUAUCUAGUCAGUCGCACAACUGAAUGCAUUCAACCAAAAUGUGUCUUCCGC